rnacentral:rRNA from 1 species
GAUGAACGCUGGCGGCGUGCCUAAUACAUGCAAGUCGAGCGAACAGACGAGGAGCUUGCUCCUCUGACGUUAGCGGCGGACGGGUGAGUAACACGUGGAUAACCUACCUAUAAGACUGGGAUAACUUCGGGAAACCGGAGCUAAUACCGGAUAAUAUAUUGAACCGCAUGGUUCAAUAGUGAAAGACGGUUUUGCUGUCACUUAUAGAUGGAUCCGCGCCGCAUUAGCUAGUUGGUAAGGUAACGGCUUACCAAGGCAACGAUGCGUAGCCGACCUGAGAGGGUGAUCGGCCACACUGGAACUGAGACACGGUCCAGACUCCUACGGGAGGCAGCAGUAGGGAAUCUUCCGCAAUGGGCGAAAGCCUGACGGAGCAACGCCGCGUGAGUGAUGAAGGCCUUCGGAUCGUAAAACUCUGUUAUUAGGGAAGAACAAAUGUGUAAGUAACUAUGCACGUCUUGACGGUACCUAAUCAAAAAGCCACGGCUAACUACGU